rnacentral:tRNA from 1 species
CCCUGGGUAGCUCAGUCGGUUAAGUGCCUGACUUCGGCUCAGGUCAUGACCUCACUGUUUGUGGGUUCGAGCCCCACUCUGGGCU